CCUACGGGAGGCAGCAGUGAGGAAUAUUGGUCAAUGGGCGCGAGCCUGAACCAGCCAAGUAGCGUGAAGGAUGACGGCCCUACGGGUUGUAAACUUCUUUUAUAAGGGAGUAAAGUGAGGCACGUGUGCCUUUUUGUAUGUACUUUAUGAAUAAGGAUCGGCUAACUCCGUGCCAGCAGCCGCGGUAAUACGGAGGAUCCGGGCGUUGUCCGGAUUUAUUGGGUUUAAAGGGAGCGUAGAUGGGAUGUUAAGUCAAGUGUGAAAGUUUGGGGCUCCACCUUAAAAUUGCCAUUGAUACUGGUAGUCUUGAGUGCAGUUGAGGUAUGCGGAAUUCGUGGUGUAGCGGUGAAAUGCUUAGAUAUCACGAAGAACUCCGAUUGCGAAGGCAGCUUACUAACCUGCCACUGACGCUGAUGCACGAAAGUGUGGGUAUCAAACAGGAUUAGAUACCCGAGUAGUC
rnacentral:rRNA from 1 species